rnacentral:rRNA from 1 species
GACGAACGCUGGCGGCGUGCUUAACACAUGCAAGUCGAACGGAAAGGCCUCUUUCGGGGGGUACUCGAGUGGCGAACGGGUGAGUAACACGUGAGUAACCUGCCCCUGACUUUGGGAUAACUUCAGGAAACUGGGGCUAAUACCGGAUAGGAGCUCCUGCUGCAUGGUGGGGGUUGGAAAGUUUCGGCGGGUGGGGAUGGACUCGCGGCUUAUCAGCUUGUUGGUGGGGUAGUGGCUUACCAAGGCUUUGACGGGUAGCCGGCCUGAGAGGGUGACCGGCCACAUUGGGACUGAGAUACGGCCCAGACUCCUACGGGAGGCAGCAGUGGGGAAUAUUGCACAAUGGGUGGAAGCCUGAUGCAGCAACGCCGUGUGCGGGAGGACGGCCUUCGGGUUGUAAACCGCUUUCGCUCAUGACGAAGCUUUGUGUGACGGUAGUGGGUAAAGAAGCACCGGCUAACUACGUG